rnacentral:rRNA from 1 species
AUUAGUGGGGGACAACAUUUCGAAAGGAAUGCUAAUACCGCAUACGUCCUACGGGAGAAAGCAGGGGAUCUUCGGACCUUGCGCUAAUAGAUGAGCCUAAGUCGGAUUAGCUAGUUGGUGGGGUAAAGGCCUACCAAGGCGACGAUCUGUAGCGGGUCUGAGAGGAUGAUCCGCCACACUGGGACUGAGACACGGCCCAGACUCCUACGGGAGGCAGCAGUGGGGAAUAUUGGACAAUGGGCGCAAGCCUGAUCCAGCCAUGCCGCGUGUGUGAAGAAGGCCUUAUGGUUGUAAAGCACUUUAAGCGAGGAGGAGGCUACUUUAGUUAAUACCUAGAGAUAGUGGACGUUACUCGCAGAAUAAGCACCGGCUAACUCUGUGCCAGCAGCCGCGGUAAUACAGAGGGUGCAAGCGUUAAUCGGAUUUACUGGGCGUAAAGCGCGCGUAGGCGGCUAAUUAAGUCAAAUGUGAAAUCCCCGAGCUUAACUUGGGAAUUGCAUUCGAUACUGGUUAGCUAGAGUGUGGGAGAGGAUGGUAGAAUUCCAGGUGUAGCGGUGAAAUGCGUAGAGAUCUGGAGGAAUACCGAUGGCGAAGGCAGCCAUCUGGCCUAACACUGACGCUGAGGUGCGAAAGCAUGGGGAGCAAACAGGAUUAGAUACCCUGGUAGUCCAUGCCGUAAACGAUGUCUACUAGCCGUUGGGGCCUUUGAGGCUUUAGUGGCGCAGCUAACGCGAUAAGUAGACCGCCUG